UUAUAAAAAGCAAAUUUUGCAUUUAGUUUCGACCUAAAAGUUGAUUAACAUAUCUUUAUUUA
rnacentral:tRNA from 1 species